rnacentral:rRNA from 1 species
AGCAGCCGCGGUAAUUCCAGCUCCAAUAGCGUAUAUUAAAGUUGUUGCAGUUAAAAGCUCGUAGUUGAAUUUCGGGGUUAGUAGGUUGGUCAUGCCUCUGGUAUGUACUGGUCUCACUGAUUCCUCCUUCCUGAUGAACCUUAAUGCCAUUUAUUUGGUGUUUUGGGAAUUUGGACUGUUACUUUGAAAAAUUAGAGUGUUUAAAGCAAGCUAACGCUUGAAUACAUUAGCAUGGAAUAAUGAAAUAGGACGUUCGAUCCUAUUUUGUUGGUUUCUAGGAUUGACGUAAUGAUUAAUAGGGAUAGUUGGGGGUAUUAGUAUUCAAUUGUCAGAGGUGAAAUUCUUGGAUUUAUUGAAGACUAACUACUGCGAAAGCAUUUGCCAAGGAUGUUUUCAUUAAUCAAGAACGAAAGUUAGGGGAUCGAAGACGAUCAGAUACCGUCGUAGUCUUAACCAUAAACUAUGCCGACUAGGGAUCGGAUGAUGUUAAUUUUUUAAUGACUCAUUCGGCGCCUUACGG